CUCGAGACUAGAGUCAGACUUAGGUGUCCCAUUGAUUGGUGUGCUACAGUGCUCGAGGAGUAACUGCUGACCGUAUUCACUGGCUGUUGCCCUCACGGCAUAGGCAUUCACCCGAUUAGUCGCAGGU
rnacentral:snoRNA from 1 species